rnacentral:rRNA from 1 species
UACAGAGGUCCCAAGCGUUGUUCGGAUUCACUGGGCGUAAAGGGUGCGUAGGUGGCGUGGUAAGUUUGAUGUGAAAGCUCAGGGCUUAACCCUGAAAUGGCAUUGAAUACUACUGUGCUGGAGGUUUGGAGGGGGGACUGGAAUUCUUGGUGUAGCAGUGAAAUGCGUAGAUAUCAAGAGGAACACCAGUGGCGAAGGCGAGUCCCUGGACAACACCUGACACUGAGGCACGAAAGCCGGGGGAGCAAACAGGAUUAGAUACCCCGGUAGUCC